GUCAGCACACGUGGAGUUCUGGGUGGGGCGCUGGGCAGAGGGACUCGGCUUCUAGGGCUCUGAGCCAGGCCGAGGGACAGACUGCUGGGAAGUCCCCAAAAGGGCAGCAGCACUGAGGGGCAGGAUUCCAGGGUCCUGGAGGCGGAAGCUCGGCCGACUGACUCCCAGUUCGAGAGAACGGGGCGGGGGCAGCCCACCAGUGCUGGAACCCGAGGGGCCGGGCGAGGAACGCUGGACUGGGAGCAGGACCCUUCUCGCCUCGGACAAGACUCCUUGUCUGGGGACCCAGCCCGACUUCAUUGUAGCUGGGUCCUCGAGAAAGCGAAAGGAGCCCUCCUUCCCCAUUGGCCUCUCCAUCGCUGCAUCCCAAGAAGAAAGACAACUCGGGCUCCACUUGCUUGCUUUUUAAUAACAGAGCAGAGAGAAUACAAGGCCAGGAGCGGGGCCUGGAGGAAAACAGGACUUGGGGUGCUCCUGUGAGAGCGACGCUGCCAACUCCAUCCCCCAGGGAUUGUGAAGGGGGUUCCUUCUGGCUGUGACAGUGCUGAACGAGGCCAGAGAGUGCAGCUGCCUGGAGGCACAAGCCUCCUCCUGAUCCAGGGGGCUCCAGGGAGACCAAAGCAGCUGUCAAGAUGAGAGAAAUUGAAAAAGAAAAUGGAAAACUCUCCAGCCUGGCUCUCAGCUUCUGCAUCUCCAUGCAAGACCAGAGACCCACAUCACUCCCUCACUCCACCCAGUUCCACUCCAACAAUACCUGGGCCCUGCCAGGAGUGAGAAAACGGUCCUCUUCCUGUGGAUAGGUUGCUCUCUCCUCUUCCAGAUCAGGGUAUUCAUUGGUGCUGGGGAAUCCACAGCCCUCUUCGCCAAGCACCACUGGCUCAGAUGCAGCCCCAGAGCUGCCCCACUGGGCCUUCUUCAGUCUGUGGAGACUUUAGGCUGAGGAGAGAAGUGCCUGGAGGCCAGGCUUCCUGUCUCUCCAUUCUUCACCUUUCUGUUCUGAAAUACUUCCUGCUGGGACUCCAGGGAGUUGUCAUUUGACCUUUAACCCUCCACUCCCAAUUUUCUGCUCCCCUCAGACUGAAGCAUAUUGUCUAGGAACCCAGAGGUGACCCCAACCUCCCCACUGUCCUCCAGUUCUAUGGUUUGCUUUCCUGUCUUCAGUGAUCUAGUUUCCACUCCUUCCAGCUCAUGUGGCUCAUCCUCCUUACUGCAGUUCCCUCCUUCUUUCCAUAUUACAGAAAUCUGUUUCAAUCACACCAAAGCCCACAGCUUCCUUCCAAGCAACCUCCCCUCAAAGCUCCCCUCAAACCUCCCCUCAAAGCUGUCAACCCCUUCCUUAGCUCAAACUGUUCUGCCCCCAAAUCCUGCAUGACUCCCAGAACCCAGAUGUCUCCCUUCCUUACUCGUUGAUGAUGCUCUGACGCCUUCUUAGGUCCUCCAGGUGGUAAGUGACAGCCCUCACCCGGGCGGGGACUCCCCCAAGGCCCUGCUGCUGCAUUCCUUCCAAACAUGGCCUCCUCUUCUUUCUUCUCCAAAGCAUUUCAGGGGGUGGGAGCUGCUCAGGAGGAUACAGACCAAGCUGGGAGCAACCAGUGGCUCUCUGUGCCAGAGAAUGGGGAAAAAGAGCUAGAAAGAAGAACUGGCUCUCUCAAGGGAGCUUGGAUUGAACUAGGUAGGGAGUCUGGGGUCUUGGGAAGACCCCUGUGAUCUCGAAAACAUGAUGACUGAUUCAUAGAAAGGAAGGCCUGGUCAGUGCACUGGUUGGGGAAUAACAGAGGGAAGCGGUAAUAAGGAGAGCUUGGGACAGGACAGCAGUGGGUGCAAUUUUAACAGAGAAAUGUUAAACGGCAGAGGGUCUGUCUUACCAGCAUGGGUGGAAUGUGCUGCUCCUCCAGCCAAGUGGGGCUGUGAAGAACAAAAAGGGGGCUAUAAGUGCAGAGGGGACAUGUCCAUCCAUAUUGCUUCUUUAAUAAUCUCUCCCGACCUCCUUUCUGUCAUUAGGAGCUACAAUGUCCACCAGCCAGUGGGAAAUUAACCGCAGACUAGGGCCUAUUGCUAUAUGGGUUUAUGGUAGUUUAAUCCAGUUAAGACCACAUCCAGUUAGUUUCCAUUUUCUCCUCUACUCACGUGGGCCUUUGAUUAAGGUUCUUCCAGAAGACAUCUCCAUAACGCUGGGGCAUGGGUCUGAGGCUCUGGGAAGGCAACCUUGGGGGUGGAGAUCGGCUGACCACCCUGGAACACCUGAGGUGAGGACAAGGUAGGCUCGGGUCUGGCUCUUCCCUUACAGCAGUCUACUCAUCCCAAGGAUUCAGGGGCCAUCUUUCCAUGGGACUAUAAAGCUGCCCAGGUUCCCUCGGGCCAUGUCCUCUCUUAACCACUUUAGCUGAAGAAGGUGGUAAGGCCUCUGCUUUGAAAGGAAAUUGAAGCUGGGUUGAGGGUGGAGAUUGGCUAUAGUUUGACCCUCAGAUCUCACUGAGUUUAAGCUCUAUAUCGGGGAUGUCCAAUCUUUUGGCUUCCUGGGCCACAUUGGAAGAAGAAAAAUUGUCUUGGGCCACACAUAAAGUACACUAACACUGGCCGGGCGUGGUGGCUCAUGCCUGUAAUCCCAGCACUUUGGGAGGCUGAUGU
rnacentral:lncRNA from 1 species